ensembl:lncRNA
AUUUCACAAAAAUUAUGUGAAAAUGAUUACAAGGCUGUAGAAAUUCAGAAGAGGAAAUGCCAGUCUGACUGAACAAAUCAAGACAGACUUUACUGGGAAGCUGACACUCUGUAUGCUGAAUCUGGACAGGAGAAGAGGACAAGAAGGGAACCACAGAGGAGUGGCGACAGCGAGAACACCAGUGCUGGAGCUGGAAUGAUGGAACUUGAUAUUGGGAGACUGACCAUGCAGAACAAAGAGCCUGCACAAUGAGUACUAGUUGAAACACAUCUGGAAAGAUUGAGACCCUGAAGUACUGGGUUACCUGUAAACAUCCAGCACUUAUAGCUUUACCCAAUACAUAGUGGAUGUUUAAAAUUAUAUGUAAAAUGUGGAAAUUUUAUUUGAUUCAGGAGGUAAUGGGAGAGCAACAUCUUUCUAAAUUAGACAAGUACAUUGUGCUAUUUCCUCUUAUAGGUCUCAUAUUUAAACUAUGUAUUAUUAAUGUUCUUCUGUGUAUUCUUGCCACCUCUUCUUAAUAUCUUCUGCUUCUGUUAGGUCCAUACCAUUUCUGUCCUUUAUUAUGCCCAUUUUUCUAGGAAAUGCUCCCUUGGUAUCUCUAAUUUUCUUGAAGAGAGCUCUAGUCUUUCCCAUUCUAUGGUUUUCCUCUAUUUCUUUGCAUUGAUACACAAAAUACACAGAAGAACGAUACAAAAAGGUCUUCAUGACCCAGAUAAACACAGUGGUGUGAUCACCCAUCUAGAGCCAGACAUCCUGGAAUGCAAAGUCAAGUGGGCCCUAGGAAGCAUCACUAUGAACAAAGCUUCUGGAGGUGAUAGAAUUCCAGUUGAGCUAUUUCAAAUCCUGAAAGAUGAUGCUGUGAAAGUGUUGCACUCAAUAUGCCAGUAAGUUUGGAAAACUCAGCAGUGGCCACAGCACUGGAAUAGGUCAGUUUUCAUUCCAAUCCCAAAGAAAGGCAAUGCCAGAGAAUGUUCAAACUACUGCAAAAUUGGACUCAUUUCACACAUUAGCAAAGUAAUACUCAAAAUUCUCC